UACGGAGGGUGCCAGCGUUAUUCGGAAUCAUUGGGUGUAAAGCGCGUGUAGGCGGUUUGGUAAGUCAGAUGUGAAAGCUCCGGGCUUAACCCGGAAAGUGCAUUUGAAACUACCAGACUUGAGUCCCGGAGAGGAAGGUGGAAUUCCCAGUGUAGAGGUGAAAUUCGUAGAUAUUGGGAGGAACACCGGUGGCGAAGGCGACCUUCUGGACGGUGACUGACGCUGAGACGCGAAAGCGUGGGGAG
rnacentral:rRNA from 1 species